ACGGCUCNGUAACACGUGGAUAACCUGCCCUUGGGUCCGGCAUAACCCCGGGAAACUGGGGAUAAUUCCGGAUAACGCAUAUAUGCUGGAAUGCUUUAUGCGUAAAAUGGAUUCGUCUGCCCAAGGAUGGGUCUGCGGCCUAUCAGGUAGUAGUGGGUGUAAUGUACCUACUAGCCAACAACGGGUACGGGUUGUGAGAGCAAGAGCCCGGAGAUGGAUUCUGAGACAUGAAUCCAGGCCCUACGGGGCGCAGCAGGCGCGAAAACUUUACAAUGCGGGAAACCGUGAUAAGGGGACACCGAGUGCCAGCAUCAUAUGCUGGCUGUCCAGGUGUGUAAAAUACACCUGUCAGCAAGGGCCGGGCAAGACCGGUGCCAGCCGCCGCGGUAACACCGGCGGCCCGAGUGGUGAUCGUGAUUAUUGGGUCUAAAGGGNGNGGNAGNCGGUUUGGUCAGUCCUCCGGGAAAUCUGACGGCUUAACCGUUAGGCUUUCGGGGGAUACUGCCAGGCUUGGAACCGGGAGAGGUAAGAGGUACUACAGGGGUAGGAGUGAAAUCUUGUAAUCCCCGUGGGACCACCUGUGGCGAAGGCGUCUUACCAGAACGGGUUCGACGGUGAGGGACGAAAGCUGGGGGCACGAACCGGAUUAGAUACCCGGGUAGUCCCAGCCGUAAACGAUGCUCGCUAGGUGUCAGGCAUGGCGCGACCGUGUCUGGUGCCGCAGGGAAGCCGUGAAGCGAGCCACCUGGGAAGUACGGCCGCAAGGCUGAAACUUAAAGGAAUUGGCGGGGGANCAC
rnacentral:rRNA from 1 species